GCAACGUUAAGAGAAAACGACAGAAGGUCGGCCGCGUGGUCUCGCCGGUUCUCUUUGCGGUCCCCACUCCGCUGCAGCAUUGAGCCGCUGCUCAGACCGAGCUGCACAGCACAGUCUCGCUCACUAACGCGCGCGGCUUUUGACAGAACAGUCCGCUGCACAGGCGGCUGUCCCCAGAAGAAGAAGAAGGAAGUUGGUGUGUAGGUGUGUGGGACGAGUGCGCUCUGACAUCAGCCUGGUGAACUUGUGCCGGAUCUUGGAUUUCCCUGCAUUGUGCUGCCGGAUCUCGCGUUUCGGGUUGUGGUGCGCGAGGAUUUCACAGUGCCGAUGACGUAGGAGUGAUUCGCUGGAAAUUCAAGAGCGAAGAGUUACUAGAGUGUCCCAGGGACUGAUGGCUCAGUCUUGAUCGGCAACGAACAAUCGGUAUCUCUCGAGAUGGCGACGGAGGAUCAGCUGGCGGCCCAGAUGCCCGGAACCAGCCACGGACUUGCCAUCGACGAGGAUCUCUCGAGGUUCUCGAGGCCGCUGAGGAACUUCGCGGCGACGAUCGCCAUCCUCAUCAUGAUCGUCGGGCUUUUGGGAAAUUUGCUCACGAUCAUCGCCCUGCUCAAGUACCCGAAAGUGCGCAACGUCGCCGCCGCCUUUAUCAUAAGCCUGUGCGUCGCGGAUUUCAUUUUCUGCCUUCUGGUGCUGCCCUUCGACUCGAUCAGAUUUAUCGACGCGAGCUGGGCUGACGUUCGCUUUCUCUGCGCACUGGUGCCUUUCCUCAGAUACGGAAACGUCGGGGUCAGUUUGCUCUCCGUCGGCGCCAUCACGAUAAACAGGUACAUCAUGAUCGCCCAUCACGGGAUCUACGCUCGAGUCUACAAGAAGCACUGGAUCGCCCUGAUGAUCAUCUUCUGCUGGCUCUUCUCCUACGGGAUGCAGGUCCCGACUCUCGUUGGAUCUUGGGGUAAAUUCGACUACGACUCGAACCUCGAGACCUGCUCGAUCGUGAGAGAUGCCAAUGGACGGACAUCCAAGACUUUCCUCUUCGUCACUGGAUUCGUCAUUCCGUGUAUAGUCAUCGUGGGAUGUUACACCAAGAUUUUCUGGGUUGUCCACAAGUCGGAGUCGAGAAUGCGGAAGCACACGGCGCCACCGCCGCCGAAUAUCAAGUCACCCCACACCCCCGGUAGGGACACCCGAGAGAUUAAGCAGCGGAGGAGCGAGUGGAGGAUCACCAAAAUGGUCCUCGCGAUCUUCCUCGGAUUCGUCGCCUGCUACUUACCGAUCACGAUCGUCAAGGUCGCCGAUCCGGAAGUACGACAUCCUGCGUUCCACGUGCUGGGCUACCUCCUGCUGUACUUCGCCUCGUGCGUGAACCCGAUAAUCUACGUGAUAAUGAACAAGCAGUACCGUCAGGCUUACGCGGGCGUGAUAAGCUGCUCGAGGAUAAGGGCUACGCUGACACCCCACGGUAGCAGCGCCCCGGGCCAGAACAACUUCGGCCAUCAAGGUAACGACCAGCAGCUCGUUACGGUCACCAAACUCUGACCGCGAGCCGCGCAAGCGAACGGGUCGAACGCGUACGAAUCCCGACCGCGAGCCGCAACUCUACGCUUUUUUCUCUUCGUAUUACUCCAAAGACUACAGCAAGACGAUGGUCUCGACUGUGUCCAUUGCCAUGAAUUCCGUGAGGGACGUUCAUCGCGACGACGAUCUUUAACGAGCCGGAAGACGAGUAUAUAUAAAACGCAAUCAAGGAAGGAACAAGGGGGCCAAGAAAACGAAUUUCUCGUAUACAUAUAAAUUCGUGUGGUCAAGUGAUACGAAUUCGCUCGAAACCGUGUAGUUAUUUAUUGAAAAAAAAAAGGAGAGAUCUUGUUGACUGCCGAAUUGACGCGAAGAAAAACGAGAUCUGUAUUAUAAACGUUACUAUAUUUUAUUGUAGAUAUUUUUUAAAAGAUCGAAUGAUGUUCCGAUGACUGAUACAUACACGCGACUCCUCGUCGGGAUUGAUAUUUGUACACGUGCGCGUAAUUUUGUUACUAUUAUCUCUGUACAAAAGCGACUAACGAUUGCACGACCAAAGAGAGACGCGAACGUAUUUUUAUAACUAUAUAUCUUGUAAAUAUAAUAUUAAAGUUUAUGUAUUUGUAUAGGAAGACGCGCACUAUGGCUGCUAUAUAUUUAUACGAUCCAUAUUAUGUAGACGAUAAACGCGAACAAGUUAUUAUUAUACUAUUAUACCGGAGCUUAUUACUAUACGCAAGUCGAUUAUAACGCUAUGAUAUUAAAGAUACGAUUGUUGAAAUUGUUAUAUAUAAAUAUGAGAAGCAAUAAAGUCCGUUAUACGAUUUACAGUAUAAA